UACAAUCAUAGCCAGUUGAAACACUGGUUCUCAAACAAUCACUGACGUUAAGCAAUGUCAAGCCUGGUCAGUACCUAGAUGGGUGAUCAUUUGGGAAUACUAGGUACU